GCAUGAAAUUUUGACCUUAUGAUGUUUUGGGGCCUUAAAAUGAGUUACUCUGACCUCCUGAAGCCAUCCCAGUGGUUUGCAAUGUGUUACUGUGUACACAGAGCUGUGCUGGAGGUUCCUCCCAGUUUGUAAACAAACUCUGACACAGCAUCCAAUUGACGCAAAGCUCGUGUGUGCCCGAGAUGACGUCAUGCCCUCGUUCGCUCUCAACUCGUCCACGCCCUCUCUCCACCCACUAGCCCGCCCAUUCAUUUGAAAACUCUAUAAAUACCAGCAGAACACCACAUAUGUACUGGUUCAAUGUCUGAGGGAACAUUUUCCGGACAAAUGCUUUCACAAUCUGGGACAAUACAGAGCAAGUUAUGGCUAACACCUGACGCUGAAGUCUGGAUCAAUACCACCAAGCCUCCUGAACAAGUAAGUCAUGAAAAGCUUCCAGUCUGUAUUACAGUGUCAUGGCUAACUAGCCUGCAGUAUUAGCUGUGAAGUGGGGAAAAACCAUACAUUAGCCAAGAAAGCUACACUGUACCAAAAGCAAUAGCCAUACUCUGUCUUAGGUUUUCUUGGGAAAUCGACUGUAAAAUAUAACCAUGGUCUUUUGAACUUACAUAUACAUCAAGCAUGAGCACAAUUUACUAAAUGGUUUCGAUGGAAAUGAAACCUUGACGACCGGGCGAGCGGCUAUGUUAGCCCACCUGCAGUCAAAUAACACAGGCAUCCAGCUAGCUAGCUAACAAGGAAUGUGAUGUUGACAAUUAUUCUAUUACACGCCAAUUUAACAAGACCAAAUUGCUCAACAUUUCGUUGGUUGACCAAGGAGGGUCCUGUGGUUGAAAACAGGGCAUUUUAAACGUUGUUGGUGAAAACACGAUUUAUUAGGAAACCCUUUUUGUUGGCUGUGGUGGUGCGGUACAUAUUCAUUUCGAUUCCCAGACUGUCGCUCCCAACCCCAAUCGCUCCCCGGUCGGCACGCUCCCACUAGCCAGACUAUCGAGCCCACCGCCAUAUAACGGAGCUAGUUAUCUUUUUGAUGUUCGUUUUUUCUUGUUUAUAACCCUAAACUUAACCCUACACCUAACCCUGACUUUAAACCUAAUCCUAAAUUGCUUGUAUGUGGCAGUGAUAAUACGUGAAAUAUAUUCGGGUGGGAUCGAACGUCUGGGAGUGAUAAAACCACCUGGGGCUACACGUCCCGGAGUGAUCUCCGUUGGGAGUGUCCAUCUGCCACCGUUCAUUUUCAUGGAGACUGGUUGUUCGUAGUUUUACCUAGGGAUGUUAUAACUUGAGAUAACAGGUGUUCGAACUAACCGUAUGUUUGGAAAGCCCAGUUGUGACUACACACCAAACUCAUAACAUAGCAUAUUGACCAGGCAAGCCUUUGAUUCGAUUUGGUCACCUAACUAUACCUAGUGUAGAGCGACUGGCCACUGCAUUGAAACGUAGGCUUCAAUGGGUUCAAAGGGUUCUAUUACGGUAAUUACUCAGUGUGCGUGGCUGCACGAACUCAGCUGACACAUCCAACACAGACUUCAAGCAGUUGAUACAGGCUGCUAUUUAGUGGUUGUGACGGCAUUUGAUUGCGUUUUUGUUUUCAUCAUAUAACAAAUUUGGCGUAACCUCUGGUAGGUACACAGAAUACAGCAGUCGGAUCACUUGUCUAGCUUACCUUGCUCCAGUGCAGGCAGCUGUGUUACGUGUGAGUAGCUAUGCAACCUGCUCCCACUGUCUGUCAUUUUUUCAUUCCUAUCCGUGAAUAGCUUGGAAAGCCGGAUGCAGUCGAAUAUUGGGUUUAUGUUUCCUUGACAUUUAUGUCUCUCUUCUGACUCAGACAAUUUUCUUGUAUAGAAUUUGAGAGGCUUAUUGUGGAUCAUGGAAAGUUAUAUUCUGUAUUUUUUCCUAAUGGCCGCAAUUCUCAUCUUCAGAAGUUCCUGUUACAGACGGUCAUGAUGAGUAGAAGAAGGCAACAUGAUGAAGCAAAACUCCAUCACCACUACGUUGGAGUCUUCCCAUUCAGUCAUCAUCCAAUUUGCUCCAAAGAAUCACAUACAAGCAGACGCUUCUUACAGAUGGCUGUCCUCUAGAAUGAAAAUGCACACCAACCACCGGCAAACAUCAAAAGCUAAUCCAACCUUUGGCUUUGUGUGGAAAGGUCUUCGGAAACCCUGUGACUGACGCAAUGUUGGUGCCCUAGAAGACAAGUCAGCACAGUUCAGACGAGCCAGCCAGAGGAGG